UACGGAGGAUGCAAGUGUUAUCCGGAUUCAUUGGGUUUAAAGGGUGCGCAGGCGGGGAUGUAAGUCAGUGGUGAAAAGCUGCCGCUUAACGGUAGUCUUGCCAUUGAUACUGCAUUUCUUGAGUAUGGUUAAGGUAGGCGGAAUGUGCAGUGUAGCGGUGAAAUGCAUAGAGAUUGCACAGAACUCCGAUUUCGAAGGCAGCUUACUGAGCCAUAACUGACGCUGAGGCACGAAAGCGUGGGGAGCGAA
rnacentral:rRNA from 1 species